rnacentral:lncRNA from 1 species
UUUGGAGCAUGUUCAUGCAUCAUAUAUGCCAUGUGAUAUUUUAGGUUACUUGCAUUAGUAUUCACGAAUAUGUUGCAUUGCAUAAUAUGAUGUGGAUGCGGAUUGGCUAUUGGAUGAUCCUCUAGUCCUCCUAUGGUAUGAUAUGAUGAUGAUACGGUAUGGAUUGCCAGUGAGGCCCAUUCUACGCCCCUGGACUAUGUUAAGAGAAAGACCAGUGAGGCCCAUUCUACGCCCCUGGCACGAUUGGACUAUGUUGAGGACUAUAGGUGACAAUGCCAUCCUUAUGUGAUAUGUUUGUGAUGUGUUACAUUUCAUGGAAGCAUGAAAUAUUUAAUAUAUGUUUUCUCUAUUCUGCUCACUGGGCUUUAUAGCUCACCCCUCUCCCCUAACCCCAGAUGUGCAGGUGCAGGGUAGAUCAGAAGGUUAGCCAGAGUAUGGAAGAUAUGUUUAUGUAAUAGUUAGAUGGUGGACAUGACAAUUGUAUUAUGAUGUAAUGUAAAAGUGUUUUAAGUUAUGUUAUGUAAUUUGAAUAUUGAGGAUAGAGUUGUGCUUGACCAAUACAGAUUGUUAAUCCCACUUGUAUGUACAUGGUCUUUAUGAUAUGAGAUAUGAGGUUAUGUUUCAGCCAAGCUUAUGUAUGAUGAGAUACCCCAUUGGAGCAUUUCGAUGAGGGCUCCAGUGGAGGUUUAUGUUAUGUUUAUGUUUAUGUACAGGUUGAGCUUGGUUGUUAUAUGAGAAUGUUUACAGGUUUAUGAGUAUUGUUGAUCAUGUAUGGGAUUAAACAGGAUUACAGGUUAUGUUAGGCUUGCUACGGGUCCCGGCGGCCUUACGCCGAUCUGGAUCCUAGCGCCGGUAGCGGUGCUCAACCUUUUUUUUUUUUUCUUUCUUUUAUAGAUAAAAUAUUUAAAUCAAAAUUUAUGUAAUAACAGUAAUUCAAACAAAUAAUAAAUAACUAUAGAACAAAUACUUUGAAAUAAUCCAAAUCCUAUUAUUCAUUCACAAAUAUAUAUACAUGUUUUAGUUUCAUAAUCCUUGUUUUUUUUUUUCUUCUUUUUUUUUCCUUCAUCAUGUAAAAAGUUUUGUUUUCUCUUAAUACUGUUAAUUAUUUAUUAUAUUUCUGUUGGCCCCUAUAAAUUUAAAUGGGACUGUUAAGUCAGAUAAGAAAACUGUAACUGUAGGGCACAAGGUGCCAAAUAACUGUAUGGCUCAAAAGCCGAUUCUAUAACUGUAGGAUACCUCAUUGUAUCCCAAGAAUCAGUGUAACUGUAGUGCAGUACUGCAAGAUCUGUAUAUGGCAUGCCACACCCUUAAACUAACUCACAAUUCCCAUCAAACUUAUUAGGGCCACACUUUAAAUAAUUUAUACAUUUAAACAGGGACAAAAGCUUGCAAUACAGUGUCACUGUCAAUUAUGCAACUAUUUUUUUUUUUUAAUAUCAUAUUUAUUUUUUAUUUUUUUACUUAAUAUCAUAUUUAUUUAUUUAUUUAUUUUUACUUAUUUAGUUAUCACAAUAUACCUUAUUUCAUUUUUUUUUCUUUGAAUUUCUAUUUGUAUCUCACAUUCUUAUUAUUAUUUUUAAACAUCAUAUUUACACUAUAUCUCACUUUUCUUAUUCC